rnacentral:rRNA from 1 species
GUGUCAGCAGCCGCGGUAAGCCGCGGUAAUACAGAGGGUGCAAGCGUUAAUCGGAAUUACUGGGCGUAAAGGGAGCGUAGGUGGCUCUAUAAGUCAGAUGUGAAAUCCCCGGGCUUAACCUGGGAACUGCAUCUGAAACUGUAGAGCUAGAGUAUGUGAGAGGAAGGUAGAAUUCCAGGUGUAGCGGUGAAAUGCGUAGAGAUCUGGAGGAAUACCGAUGGCGAAGGCAGCCUUCUGGCAUAAUACUGACACUGAGGCUCGAAAGCGUGGGUAGCAAACAGGAUUAGAUACCCUGGUAGUCCACGCCGUAAACGAUGUCUACUAGUCGUUGGGUCCCUUGAGGACUUAGUGACGCAGCUAACGCAAUAAGUAGACCGCCUGGGGAGUACGGCCGCAAGGUUAAAACUCAAAGGAAUUGGCGG